UCUUUGUUGGCGGCUUGACAUGAGUUUAUCAUGCACCCCAACUUGGCAACCGUAUUUUAAAUGGUACAGUUGUAUGCCGUGGAAUACAACAACUGCGGGCCCAUAAAGUUGUUGCUGAGAUGCCAAUAAGUACCGGUACAUUGUCAACUCUGUUUACCUGUCGUACUCACAAGCCUCUUCAUGUUCGCAAGCUCUGCGUAAAAAAGAAAAAAAGAAAAGCAACAGAGAUACCUUUGCUCCAUCGAAUAAAAGGAAAAAGAAAAUGAAUUAGGGCAGUCCUUGUUUGGUUCCAUAAUCACAGGUUUACUUCAUAUAUUUGAUAUGCAUGCAUUGGUAUUUCAUCAUAACAAAGAUCGAUCCUUAUUUGGGUUGUUGCAAUUACAUUCAUAUCUUUCUUCUUGAUUGAAGUGUACACAUCUCUCUUCAAAGCCAGCUGGAACUACCAAGAGAAUGAUCCAUAUAUAAUAUAGAAUAAUAUUUAUAUUUACUUGGUAUAUGUACUACAACAAAUAAAAAGAAUAUUUUACAUUCUAAUACUUUGAUGUAUAUUUUUUUAUUUAAAACUAAUAAAUAUGUGUUACUAAUUUAAUUUGGUAUAUAUGAGAAGAGAAAUGUUAAAUUUAGGUAAAAUUUUCUUAUAAUAUAACUAUGCACUCUUUUUAUAUAUAUAUAUAUAUUAUUAUUAUUAUCAUUAUUAGGACUUAGGACAUAGGGGGUUGAAUGAGAAACCGUAUUUUCAAAAACUAAAAUAAGUUAAUUAUAGUUAAGCUUUUACUUUGGGACAUUUUACCCGUUCAAAGCUUUAAUCCAGCCUCAAAGAUACAUAACCAAAUCAAUUGCAUCAUUCUGAUUCAGUAAAUUCUUUACUUUUAUCUCAUUGUUUAAAUAAUUUAGUAUUAUUUUUUAUAUAAAAGGUUUUAAUUUCAAAGAUUUACUUUCUUUAAUAGUCGAUGAUGUUACGGGUGAACAAAUUGAGCUUACCUGAGAAUUUUCUCAUCGGAUAAUCAACACGUGCGUUCAAAGAGACGAUUCCUGGUUUACGCUAAAAAAAAAAAAAAAGGUUUAGAGAGCUCAUUCAGAGAAUAAUACUCUAUAUUUCACUUGUACUUAUACUUGAGUGCGAGCACUAGUUGCCUCAUGCAUACCGUCCAGCUUAGAUAGAAGACAAAUGAAGGAGGAGAAUACAAAAAAUAAGCUGAAAAUAAUAGAAAGGACCAAUCAUUUUCUUUCUUGCACAAUGGAAGCUAAAUUCUCGACGUUUGUCCUAAUCAGAUACACAAUAACUAAUUCCAAAUUGCAUAUAAAUUUUUUGUUAACAUGUUUUAUUAUUUAAUUUAUGUGAAAUUAAGACAUUAAUAUGAAAUAAAAAGUAUGUUAAAAAUUAUUAUUAUUAUUAUUGAUAAUAAUUAAUUAAAAUUCACAUUUGGAUAAUCAUCGAUUUAUCUAUAAAAUAGUCUGUAAAACUUCAAAAUGGAGCUGAUUUAGCCGUCAUAGUCCAGGAGCCUUUGUUCUUAAUAAUCUUUUCGACGGAGGGCAAUAGAAAUAAUAACAAGGCCAAAGAAUCGUCCAAUCAAUUAAUAGGAACACUUUUUUGAAAAAAAAUUGAUAGGAACACGUUAGAAAAUAUAGGAACAGCAAUACGCUAGUAUGUCACAUGGACAAAUGGGGGACGUAGAUAAGAUCUCUUUCGUGGGCCCGAUGUAAAAGGCCGUCCGAUUAAGAUACUCCGGUAAUUAGAAGCUUCCCUUAUCCUUUAGGAAAUCCCCAACUUUUCACCUGAAGAAAACGACUCGCGCUAAGAAGCGAGAGAGAGAAAGCAAACGAUAGUGAGUAGCUGAUUAUGGACUAUUUUGAAUCACCGGCCAUAGAUGGACCCACUCUGGGAGGGGAUGAGAGUAGUGCUUGAUGAAGUCUCUCCAAAAAUGAACUUUGUCCUUUGAAUGAUUUAAGCUGGUGCCGUACCUUACAGGGGCAUGCACGUUAUCUGAUAUCAGAAGCAUCUUCUCCUGGAGAGGCAAGUCAAAGAAGCCCACAGCAGCAUCUAAAGCAUCUUUCAUUGCAGGAAGAGGGAUUCCGUGAUUUAUCACCUGAAAGCAUAGAGGGGCAGAAAAGGAAGAAAGAGAGGAGGUGGCCCCACUCAAGCCGCAACCUUAUGAUGAAUAGCUCCAUUGGAGUGGUGCAAAAUUCCUGGUAGUCAGGGACCCAUAAGCCAGAUAUAGCGGAACCUGAAUUGCUAGAAUAAAUUGUAAAUAUGUGCAAGCUGGGGUGACGAGUACGCCCCAGGUUUUAUUUUAUAGUCAAAAUUGGCACUUAACUUUUCACGUCAGGCACAAGGUACACAAGGAUAAAAAGAAUAUCUUAAUUUUUCUGUGUCUUGCCUGAGAUAUUUUGUUGUAGUUAAACAUUAAAUAUUUGCACCUUAGAUUCGUUAAAUCCGGAAGAAAAGAUUUAGGAAUUUUAUGUCUCUCUCUACCUAUGGGGAAGAUAAAAUUAUCUUCAGAAGGAUAGAAAAAUGCUUCUCUUAUA